AAUACGUGAGUGUGCCAGCCGCCGCGGUAAUACCGGCAGCUCAAGUGGUCGUCGCUUUUAUUGGGCCUAAAACGUCCGUAGCCUGUUUGGUAAAUCUGUGGGUAAAUCAACCAGCUUAACUGGUUGAAUUCUGCAGAGACUGCCAGACUAGGGACCGGGAGAGGUGUGGGGUACUCUAGGGGUAGGGGUAAAAUCCUGUCAUCCUUAGAGGACCACCAGUUGCGAAGGCGCCACACUGGAACGGAUCCGACGGUCAGGGACGAAGCCUAGGGGCACGAACCGGAUUAGAUACCCGGGUAGUCCUAGGUGUAAACGCUGUGAACUUGGUGUCGGGAGUCCGCAAUGGGCCCCCGGUGCCGGAGUGAAGAUGUUAAGUUCACUGCCUGGGGAGUACGGUCGCAAGGCUGAAACUUAAAGGAAUUGGCGGGGGAGCACUGCAACGGGAGGAGCGUGCGGUUUAAUUGGAUUCAACGCCGGAAAACUCACCAGGGCCGACUGUUAGAUGAAGACCAGCGUAAUGAGCUUGUCGGAUUUUCAGAGAGGUGGUGCAUGGCCGUCGUCAGUUCGUACUGUAAAGCGUUCUGUUAAGUCAGAUAACGAACGAGACCCUCAUCUCUAUUUGCUACCCGUCUCUCCGGAGGCGGCGCACUAUAGGGAGACCGCUGGUGUUAAACCAGAGGAAGGCGAGGGCAACGACAGGUCAGUAUGCCCCGAAUGUCCUGGGCUACACGCGCGCUACAAAGGACAGGACAAUGGGAUGCUAGGCCGAGAGGCAUUCAAGCUAACCCGAAACCUGUUCAUAGUUCGGAUUGAGGGCUGUAACUCGCCCUCAUGAAGCUGGAUUCCGUAGUAAUCGUGUUUCAAUAUAGCACGGUGAAUAUGCCCCUGCUCCUUGCACACACCGCCCGUCAAACCAUCUUAGUUGGGGGUGGGUGAGGCUGCGCUUACUUCGGUAUGGCGUAUUCGAGCCUGCCUUCGACAAGGAGGGUUAAGUCGUAACAAGGUAUCUGUAGGGGAACCUGCAGAUG
rnacentral:rRNA from 1 species